GCGGGAGUGGUCAAAAUGGCAAAGGCGCCACGUUCAGACCGUGGAGAUUCUGUGGGUUCGAGUCCCACCUCCCGCACCA
rnacentral:tRNA from 1 species